rnacentral:rRNA from 1 species
GAUGAACGCUGGCGGCGUGCCUAAUACAUGCAAGUCGAACGAAACUUCUUUAUCACCGAGUGCUUGCACUCACCGAUAAAGAGUUGAGUGGCGAACGGGUGAGUAACACGUGGGCAACCUGCCCAAAAGAGGGGGAUAACACUGGGAAACAGGUGCUAAUACCGCAUAACCAUAGUUACCGCAUGGUAACAAUGUAAAAGGUGGCUAUAAUACCGCUUUUGGAUGGGCCAGCGGCGCAUUAGCUAGUUGGUAGGGUAAGGGCUUACCAAGGCAAGGAUGCGUAGCCGCCUUGGGAGGUUGUCCGGCCACCUGGGGACUGAGCCACGGCCCAAACUCCUACGGGAGGCAGCAGUAGGGAAUCUUCGACAAUGGGCGAAGGCCUGAUGGAGCAACGCCGCGUGGGUGAAGAAGGUCUUCGGAUCUUAAGACCCUGUUGUUAGGGAAGAAAGUGCGUGAGAGUAACUGUUCACGUUUCGACGGUAUCUAACCAGAAAGCCACGGCUAACUACGUG